rnacentral:snRNA from 1 species
GGAUGUGAGGGCGAUUUGGCUGCGACAUCUGUCACCCCAUUGAUCGCCAGGGUUGAUUCGGCUGAUCUGGCUGGCUAGGCGGGUGUCCCCUUCCUCCCUCAACGAUCCAUGUGCGUCCCUCCCGAAGCUGUGCGCUCGGUCGAAGAGAACGACCACCCCCGAUAGAGGAGGACCAUUCCUCGGUCAAGGGUAUACGAGUAGCUGCGCUCCCCUGCUAGAACCUCCAAACAAGCUCUCAAGAAAUCAACUUUAAAUAAAGCAUAUAUAGAUUAAAAAUAAUCUGAUGGAGUUAUACCGUGCUAAUU